rnacentral:sRNA from 1 species
AUCAAUAAGACGAGUGGCCUAGGCUAGUGACCUCCAUUGCACAUAACGGAGGGGUGCUUAGCUUAAGGUCUCCCCAAGUGGGAGAGCCUGCGUCAUUAUUUGUGGCAGAGGGGGCCUGCGUUCGCGCGGUCCCUACCAUUCUUUUUACAUGAAACCUUUGUUAAAUAAAGCUGUAAAAGGUAAUUUCUUAUUACGAAUUGUAAGUUUCGAAUUCGAUUGUGUUUAUUUAUUGUAUUGGUACAAGAAUACCACAUCGGAAGAACGCAU